rnacentral:lncRNA from 1 species
CAAGUAGUGGAGGAUGGGGAGAUGCAUGGGACUAAUCCCUGAUGACAGCUGACGGAACGGUACAGAAGUUAAAUCCAAAUGCCGGAGAUGCCCCGGAAACACCGCUCUGUCCCACUCCCUCAUUGCGGCUUCACCCUUAUAAUCCCUUAGUUCCAGAUGCUGGAGUUUGUGGAGAUUGCCUAGUGAAUGCACAAGAUCUGACUGCACUAUCCCUUUCAAGUGACCGACACUAAUGUUGAGCAUCCUGAGUUCGCUUUGGUUGCCAACGUCCUUCAUAAAUUGCCGCUGGGACUCCUCAUCCAGGUUAUCAAUACGUAUACACAGGUACUCUAAUGACGUCACCUUCCUCAGGAUCAACCCAUCCGGCGCGCACGUAGAGAAGUUGCCACGUAGGCAGACCAACUGCGUUAACUGGCAAACGGCCGAUGGCAGUACCUGUAUGUAAGAACCUUGCAAGUCAAGUGUCUGUAGAAACUUCAGUUUUCCUAUUUCUUCCGGGAGCUGAUUAAUACCAGAUUCACCACCUUGUACAUAUCGUAGCCCAAGGUACCUCAAAUGAAGUAGAUUUCCAAGGUGCUUAAGACCCUGUCAGCCUGGCUUAGGCAUUUUGUAAUGCGCUACUGUUGGUGCUAGAAAUCGGUCAACCGGAUCCCAGCAGCCGACACACGACCCGGGAGAAUCUGCUUAGCUCCUGUUCGGGUGAAUGCCCUGGUGCGGUUCGCGCGGCGUGCCAGCCAAUCUGACCUGUUGAUUGGCAAGGAAAAACACGUGUCAAAUUCAGUAACUACGAUCGGCUAAGUUUCCGAUCGGGAAAGCUUAUCGGCAGAUCAACCGAUUUACUGUAGUAGAGAAAUCGGCUACAAGACAGCACGAUCCCCGUAGCCUUGUAGAUAGAAAAAUAUUAAAGUAAUCGGUACAAGGUACGUAGUAACAGCACUAGGAAAAGAUCUAAUCGGCAACAGAUGGAUCUAGUAACGGAAGGUAAUGAAAGCCGAUACUACCGAUUCCUAGCGGGAUAACUGGUGAUAAAAACUAGGAAAAUAGGCAAAAACCUAUGAAGCUAGUUAAUACCGAUAACUGAUGAAUAAAUCUAAACGAAACAACAGCGAUACGCCAGAAGUUAAAGCUUAGAAAUUACUCGAUAAACGGAACUUACAGAAUCGGCCGGAGAUCAAGAUGAUGCAGCCCUGCCAAUCCGCACGAACUCGUGAGAAGGAAAAAGUGAUGGCGAAGUCGCCUGCUCGAAAGUAAGUAUGAAGAAUAAAGUAACUUGUUGUAUUGAUUGAUUGUUGUUUACAGAUUUACAAAGGUAGCUAUUUAUAGCCCCGUACAAAUAAUCUUCUUUAACCGACUAGGACUCUAUCUCUAAUUCAAACAGAAAACAAAUAUCUACAAGCACAAUCCGUGCUAAACUAAUUACCCCACGCUUCGUGGGCUGAACUCCUCCUCAUCUUUCCACCUUCCCAAGCCCAUACAGGCCCACUUUAGUCCACUUUCCUGAUCGGCCGAUUUUUCAUCAGCGAAGGAUUGCCGAUUGGGAAUCUGACGUAUUCACUCUGAAGUGAAGUAAAAGCCACUUGACCGAUUCCGCACUGUAGCCCCUUUUGACCGAUUCCCAUCUGUAUUCUUUCGAUUUCUCUCUUCUUUGACGCCGAUUCUACUGAUGACGAAAUCCGGCGUCAACACAUGCCCCCCAGUUUCGGAGUAAAACAUAAUCCUUUACUUCGAAAUUCUUUACAACCUCUCCUCCGAAACGGCCGCAGUGAAAAUAUCCUUCCGUUUCGCGGUCUCCCGGCUGAUCAUCGCAAUUUUUGAAACGGGCGCCCACGACGGCCACUACCCCAAAAAACUCGACGCGCCGGCGCGGUGAAAAUUCCAAUUUUACCCUUCUUUCAGGCACCCUAUAAAUAUCAUUUCACCGCAACUCAUCUUCAAGCUCACACCUCUUUUCUAGCGCGCGCGCCUCCUUCUUUCUGCAAUCUUGCCAUCGAAGUCUUCCAGUUUCAGCUCCAAUCACUUCUCCCCCUUUCCCUUCAAUGGCGACUCCUUCCGGCAACUCCCCAGCACGCGAUGCCGCAGGAACAAUUCCUCCGGUGGAGGUAGCGACGGUCGUCACUUCCUCAACAAACGCAAGGGCUUCAUCAGAAAUCCCGAUGGCGAUUCCCUUCACAGCCCCAUCAUCUGCACCAACGUCGGCGGCUACGCCGAUUACUCAGAACUUCAUCCCGGAGGUAAAUACCGAAUCUUCUCCUUAUCGGCAAUAUUUUAGAUCUACUCCUUAUACUCCUAUGCCCUCUUUUCCUUUUUUAGGCGGUUAGAGAUAGAAUUACUAUUCACCUCACGGAUAGUCCCGGCCUUGUUUGUCUCGGUCCCAUGGGAAACCCAGAUCCAGCGAUUCUUAUAGAUUCGGAAACUGACCGGAUACCUUUCAAACGGUCCGAUAUGAACUUGAAUCAAUGGGCAAGUACUUUUAGAUCCUGGCCGAAUGAAACCCCUGGUUGGAGGGAAUGGUACCAACGGGUGGCCGCAUCAAGGAGCGUUUCAUGGGAUGAGCUUAAAAUCGGCCAAUGCAUCAACCUUUCUCUGUCGCAAAUGGAGAAAAAUGAGCCGCUGGUGAUGGCAGCUUCCUAUUUCUGGUCUGACGCCCUUAAUGCAUUUUUAUUUGGUCAUGGUCCUAUGACCCCCACUCUGGCCGAUGUAGUCCUCUUGACUGGCUUAGAUGUAUCCUCCCCUGACACACCUUUCCAACUUCUGAACGUUCCGUCGCAUCGGCUGGACACAAGAGGAAUCGGCGGCUGGAAGGGCUUCCUUAGUGAUAACAAGAAGACCGGUACUGUUGAUAACAGGGAGCACACCGCUUUCCUGUUAAUGUGGCUCGAAAAACACUUCUUCUGUGGAAGAGCCGCCGGCCCAACAACCAACACCCAACCUUUAGCCGAGGCACUGUCCAGAGGAAGCCGCAUUCCUCUCGGGAAACAUCUUCUGGGUGCCGUGUACCACAUGCUCCACCAAAUCGGCACAAAGCUUUCCAAAGGGGAACCAAUCGGCAAUCCAGGUGGGCCUUGGUGGUUCGUCAAUUUAUGGUUGAACCUCUAUAUGAGCAGAAUCACUCGGCAGCCAGUGGACCGUAUGACAUUUCCCAAUAUUGAAUCGGCAGAAGACCCCACCGAGCGUCGCCGAUGUAUGUCUUAUGGUGAAGCAGCGUCAGCUUUUCCAGGUUGUGCAUAUUCUGCUACAAAAGUAGCCGAAUACUUUCGGUGCUUUUACAACGGAUUCAAUGAGGAUGCUACCAUCUGGUUCCCAUACCAGCGACACAUCCCAGUCUUUGAGCUCCCCACCUGCUUUGACUCGACUUCUGGCCGGUUUGAUGAGGAUCUCUAUGAAGAAUUGAUCAAACCAGGACUUUUACCGGCCAACUUCUUCUCGGGGAAAAAUGCCCCCACAUAUGAGUUCUACAACCCAUCUACUGCUGCCCGGCAAUUCGGCAUGGGUCAACUGCCGAUACGGGUAUAUUUCGCUGGCCAAAUCAAGUUCAGAGAAGCGCUCAAAUCUGGCCUGGACUAUUGUCGGCUGCGAGACCGAAUUCCGGAUUCCAGUACGAUCAACUUGAAUGAAUGGCUAUUAUAUCCAUUUGCAACCCAGCCUUUCAAGCUUUGGUGGGCCGAAUGGAAGCAAUUCUUAUUCUGCAAUUCGGCAUCGGCGUAUUGCAACCUUCUGGAUCCAUCCAACAUUGACCCCAACGCCGAGGUAUUUCUGAUUACUGACUGUACUCUUUUCACCAUAAUUGAGCACUUAAUGAUUUCAUUUCUUCCUUAGGCUGGGAAUCAAGCCCCUCCCACGCACAGCCGCAGUGGCCGGCUAAUAGAAAGUUAUCCGUACACCACUUACCCUCUCAUCGGCUAUGACGCUCCAUCGGUCGAUGUGAUUACUGGCCGAUCGAAGAGAGUUCAGAAGAAAGUCGUCAAGAAAACCAGUCGCCGAGUUCGGGCUCGUACGGAAUCGGUGGACCCUCCUGUACCCGUAUCGGCAGAAGUCUCGACUGCACCGCCCCCGGCCAUACAAAGUGAUGACACUCAAGCCAUUACACAAGCCGGAGCGGCAGCCGCCUCACUAUUGCUGGAAGCUUUACAAGUGAGUUCAAGCUUUAUCUCUUCCGAUUUGUCAAUUCGGUAAUUACUCUUGUUAACUUUUCGUACUUCUUAGGGCUCUUCUAUGGAAAUACCACAGUCAGCAACAACUCGACCGGAGGCCAACACGCCCCUGCCUUCAUCCGUUGAGGUACAGUACUUGUCUUAUGGACUUCCUUCGGGUAUUUGCAUAACACCUUUAACCGAUCCUUCGACGCAGACCAUCGGCACACCAAGCGUUUCUCGACAACUGAUUCCUUCCCAGGGAGCCGGUCCGAGCACCGUGCCGAUUGUCGUAGAGUCUUCUUCAUCGGAUGAACCCAUGACUCAGGCCACUGAACAAGGUACAACGACUCUACAAGCGCAGCACGAGGAAAUCCGUUCUAAGAUGGUAAGUUUUUGAACCAGCUUCACCAGCCGAUUUACUCUGCCCCCCUGCCGAUUUACCCUUUUUUCUUUAUUCUUUUCAGGAACAGGACUCUCCCAACAACAGUCUCUUCUCUUUCGCGGUCGCUCUCUCUGAUGAUGAGGAGACUUCUUCUCGCCAAGUCGCCUUAAGCUCCGUCCCUGACGACAUCCGGGCUAAGCUUAUCAACAUCCGAUCCCUCCUUCAAGGGGAUAUCGGCCGAUUGGUAGAAGAUGCUUCGCCGAUUCGGCAGCUUUUUAGUGACGUCAGCGGACGCGUACCAGAGGAAGCGGAAGAGGCGUUGGCACCGGCGGCUUUUAUUGAGUCCAUGAGGAUUCCCAUUUUUAGAGCCCUUCGUCAUAUGGCCGAUCGCGCGAAACUGGCCAAGAUCCGUGAAGAUGAAAAUGCUUUCAAGCACCAGGCUCAAGAAGCGAAUCGGUGGAUCCAUGUCUUGGAAGAUUCACGGCCGGCGAUCAUUAGUGAAAUAGAUCGCCUCAAGCGACGGAGGGCGGACCUUGCCAAAGAGAUGGAACAAGUGACCAAGGCCAUCAGCGCCGAAGAGAGCAGACUUCAAGAAUUACCUUCGGCUAUUGCCGAUUUGACACGGGAGAGGCAGCGUCUUGCUCAGGAGGCUCUGAGGCUCCACCGCACCGCCUCAGAAGUCCCUGGAUCGGUAGAAGAAGACCAACGGGUUCUUGACUCUGCCGAUCAGAUCAGACGUCGGGCCGUCACGGCUAUCGAUACCCUUUUGGGUAAUCUGUAAAACACUGACCGUUUUGUACGAACAUUUACUGCCGCUUUUGACUGACCCUUCGUGAUCCCUUCUAUUUACUGCCUUCCUUAUUACCGAUGGGACGUGGCCUCAUCAGAUUUUACUGUAUCCCCCCAUAAAUAUCGACCCCGGCGCUUCCUCUCCGAUAACACUGAUUUGGCUUCUAUCUCAUUUCUCCCCUUCCUCUCAUCGGCACAUCCACUUCGUUAUGGCUUCAUCGUCGUCUUCUUCCGUCAACCAGGUGACGCUUCGCCUUCUCCUUUCAGAUCUUAGGAAGUGAACGUGCUAACUCGUUUCCUCUCUGUUUCAGCCUCAACGCCUUAGCCCAGAACUUGUGCGCGCCAUCGAGUGCCUACAUUCCGAAGACCCUCUGACCCCGGAGGACAAAGCUUUGAUCUUAGCUCAUCGGGCGGAGCUUCAAGAUCAUGUCACCGCAGACGCUCGAGUGGUCCUGGAGGCCGUGGUGAACGAGCACCAUCAUAUGCUUCGAGCCAUGAGGGGUCGUCGCCGCAACGUUCUUGAUGGUGACAUCACCUCAUCGACCUGCGCGAUCCUGGAUUUCCUGGAGAGGAACGGGAAUCCGCGGCUUCCUGCCGAUAUGGCUCGUCCGUUCCCUCGGAACCUGCGGCCUUCUACUGACAGAGUCCGCAUGCUUCCUCGGCCCGUCGCUCUGGCGGCGGCGGAGGCCUCUCGUCUUCCCGUGGAUCUCCCUCGUCAAGUCGAAGCAGAGAGUUCAAUGAAGGCCAUGGAAGAAGAAUACAUUCGACUCAUGAUAGAGUUGGGUCGGGCUGAGAGGGAGCGUAAGAACAAGAACAAUUAGUUGCUGUAUUUUUUAUUCUAAGGGCGACUUAGUGUUUUGUCGGCCAUGUAAUCGGUCGCCCGUACCGAAUGUAAUCGGCCCGAAUGAAUGUAAUCGGCCAUUAUGAACGUAAUCGGCCAUUCUGGUCGAUUUCAUAUGAAUCUCAAAACCGAGUUGUGUCGGUCACAUUUGACUGUGUUUAUUCCUUUAGGCCCCGACCCAUAUACUCGGGUAAUAUCUUUUUAAAUAUCUCCCAUUCAGAGCCCUAGUGAAUUCUUCCCCCUCUGUUGUUUCCAAAAUAUACGCAUUCCCUGGAGCGCAUCUGCCGAUUCUAUACGGCCCUUCCCAGGUAGGAGACCAUUUGCCGAAUUUAGGAUCUUUCGACCCGAUCGGUAGUACCAACUUCCAUACCAAAUCUCCAGGGGAGAACUGUUUGACUUUAACCUUUUUAUCAUACCACCUGGCCACUCUCUUUUUAUUCUCUUCGAUGCUUAUUAGAGCUCUCAGUCGUUGGCCGGCCAAGUCAUCAAGUUCUUCCUUCAUCAGAGCCGAGUAGUCAUCGGCCGACAACUGGUCUUGCAGUGAAAUGCGCCUUGAUCCUGCCCUUGACUCCCAUGGAAGUACUGCAUCGUGACCGUAUACCAACUGGUAGGGGGAUAACUUGGUAGCCCCGUGACAGGCCAUUCUGUAUGCCCACAGGGCCUCGGUCAAACAUAGGUGCCACUUCUUAGGGCAUUCUUCAAUCUUCCUCUUGAUCAACUUGAUUAUUCCUUUGUUGGAGGAUUCUGCUUGACCAUUGGCUUGAGCGUAAUACGGAGACGAAUUCAGCAACUUGAUGCCCAUAUCGGUCGUAAAUUCCUCAAACUCUCCCGAUGUGAACAUUGUUCCUUGAUCAGUCGUUAUAGUUUGAGGGAUGCCGAAUCGGUAGACGAUGUGAUCCCUUACGAAAUCGGCCAUGAUAGCCGAAGUCACAUUUCUUAGUGGGAUUGCCUCCACCCAUUUGGUGAAAUAAUCGGUGGCGACCAGAAUAAAUUUGUGCCCCUUGCUCGAUGGCGGAUAAAUUUGGCCGAUGAGGUCUAUUCCCCACCCUCUGAACGGCCAUGGUUUGAUGAUGGGAUUCAUGGCCGAUGCGGGUGCACGCUGGACAUCUCCAAACUAUUGACACUCCUGACAACCCUUAUAAUAUUUGAAACAAUCUUCAAGGAUCGUAGGCCAAUAGUACCCAUUGUUUCUGAUCAUCCACUUCAUCUUAUGUGCUGAUUGAUGGGCUCCGCACACCCCUUCAUGGAUUUCUCCCAUUAGAGUCUUGGCUUCUUCUGUCCCAAGGCAUUUAAGAAGAACACCAUCGAUCGUUCGGUAGAACAGAUCAUCUUCGAGCAACACGUACUUGGUAGCAUGAAAACGCACUCGUCGCUCCACCUUUUUGGAAGGAUCUUUUAGGUAAUCGGCAAUUUCCUUACGCCAAUCGUCAGCUGCAAGUUCCAAGGCCAUGGCGCCCGGAAUCGGCCGAUACCCAGAUGCGUGUUGAGCGAGUUUGUUUGCUUCCUCGUUGUGAUCUCUUGGGACGUGCUCGAUUACUGCCGAUCUGAAUUCUUUCAAAAGCUGUAAGCAAUCUUCGUGAUGGAUUCGCAAUAUGUCGUCUUUGCACUCAGCUCUUCCGGUUAGUUGAUCCACAAUUAGCAUCGAAUCUCCGAAGACCUCGACAGAAUCGGCCUUGACUUCUCUCAAUAAUCGUAAGCCUUUUAAUACAGCUCUGUAUUCUGCUUGAUUGUUUGUGGCGGCGGUUUCUAUCGGCAGAGAAAAAUCAUAUCUUGCCCCCCGAGGCGAUAUGAUGACGAUGCCGAUUCCCGAUCCGGCUCCGCAUGAUGACCCAUCGAAAAACAACUGCCAAGGCGCUGGUUCCACGAAGGCGAUCUCUGGCCCACAGUGCUGGGCAACGAAAUCGGCCAUGACUUGACCCUUGACGGCUUUCGCCGAUUCGUAUCGUAGGUCAAAUUCUGAUAAAGCCAAAAUCCAUUUGCCGAUUCUCCCUUUCAAUAUCGGCAGUGACAGCAUGUAUUUCACUACAUCAUCUUUGCAUACGACUAUACAUUCUGCCGUCAGUAGAUAGUGUCUGAGCUUGGUGCACGAGAAGUAAAGACACAAACACAAACGCUCUACUGGAGGAUAUAUUGUUUCGGCAUCCAGGAGUCUUCUACUAACGUAAUAAAUUACCCGUUCUUUGCCUUCAAACUCUUGGACUAGAGCCGACCCAAUAGCUUUGUCAUCGGCUGACAAAUAUAGUUUAAACGGCUUACCCGUUUGAGGAGGAACCAGGACUGGGGGUGAGACCAGGUAUCGCUUGAUGUCUUCUAACGCUUUGCGUUGUUCUUCUCCCCAUAUAAAUUCCUGGUCUGGCUUCAACUUCAGAAGUGGUGUGAACGCCUGAAUCCGUCCAGAUAGAUUGGAUAUAAAUCUUCUGAUGAAGUUUACCUUGCCGAUUAGAGACUGUAGCUCAGUUUUGUUUUGUGGGGCGACGACUUUGUUGAUAGCCGCUAUGGUCUUCUGAUUGACUUCAAUGCCUCGUUCGUGCACCAUGAAUCCUAAGAACUGUCCGGCGGAGACGCCGAAAGCGCAUUUGUUGGGAUUCAUCUUAAGACCAUGUUUUUUGGUGCACUCUAGGACCCUUCGCAAAUCGGCUAGGUGUUCCUCGUGGCUUUUGGACUUGACCACAACGUCGUCGAUGUAGAUCUCCACCAGGAGGCCGAUGAGUUUAUGAAAAAUAUAGUUCAUGGCCCUCUGAUAUGUAGCACCAGCAUUUUUCAAACCGAAAGUCAUCACCACCCACUCGAAUAGACCAAGAUGGCCUGGACAUCUGAAAGCCGUUUUGGGUAUAUCCUCUUCGGCCAUAAGUAUUUGAUUGUACCCGGCGUUCCCAUCCAUGAAGCUAAUAAUUUUGUGCCCUGCGGCAGCGUCGAUCAGUACAUCGGCCGUAGGCAUGGGGUAGCCAUCCAUCGGUGUGGCCUGAUUAAGAUUUCUGAAAUCGACGCAAACGCGCAACUUCCCGUUUUUCUUAUACACCGGUACGAUAUUAGAAAUCCACUCGGCGUAACGACAUUGCCGAAUAAAUUUUGCUUCAAUUAACCGAGUUAUUUCGGCUUUUAUGUCCGGUAAAAUUUUAGGAUUGCAUCGUCGUGCGGGUUGUUGGUACGGCCGAUACCCUGGUUUUAUGGGUAGCCGAUGUUCAACGAUAGAUCGAUCUAAUCCGGGCAUCUCGUGAUACUCCCACGCAAAACAAUCCUUGAAUUCUCUUAAUAAAUUUGUCAAUUUACACUUGUACUCUGGAUCUAAAUUUGCACUAAUGAAAGUCGGCCUUGGUUUGGUCCCGUCACCUAAAUCUACCAUCUCUAAUGAAUCGGCCGACGUGAAUCCGUGUCCCAGCUUCCCGUCUUCUCUGGCGAACUGAUCCAUUUCCUGCGCUUCUUCGGAGCCGACUGCUCGGAUCGGCUGUAGGCCAAAAUCGGUGACCUUCAGGAAAUCGGUUUCCCACACCCUACCUGAUAUGCACCUGACAGUUUCGCAGCUCCAUUGUUGUGCGUCGGCUGCUGCGAUGCUGUAUGCAGAGUCGGCUUUGACCACUUCGAUGUUAUCGCCGAUCCAUUGUACAAGGCAUUGAUGCAUAGUUGAUGGGAUGCAGCAGUUUGCGUGUAUCCAGUCUCGACCAAGAAGCAUAUUAUAGGACCCUUUGCCAUUAAUGACGAAAAAUGUGGUAGGAAGGGUCUUACUGCCGAUGGUGAGGUCGACGCAGAGGGCACCGCGAGCGUUUGACACCUUGCCUUCGAAGUCCUUGAGCAUCAUGUCCAUCCUGGUCAGGUCGUCGUCGCUUUUUCCCAGCUUUCGGAGUACGGCAUAUGGCAUGAUGUUGACGGCAGCUCCUCCGUCGACCAUCAAUUUAGUGAGGGGGCGACCGUCAACAUGCCCUUUAAGGAACAACGCCUUCAUAUGUUGUCGUUCGUCAUCUUCGGGCUUUUCGAACGUGGCCAUCAUCGGUUCUAAAGCCAACCUUGCUGUUUGUUCCUCUAUUACCGACACAUCCUGUUGAUCGGCGGGGGUCAUGAACUCCAUCGGCAAUAUGAAAACCAUACCGAUUUCAGCUGCCGAUUCGUCGCCUGCCGACUCGUCGUUGCCUUUGUCGUUUCUUUUGGGGCGCCACACCCAAGGCCUUUCUUGCUUUUUGUCCAUCGUGCCCUCUUCUUCUUGCUGUUCCCAUUGGCGGAGGCGUUGGAUUCUCCGUUUUUGUGAUUUGGUUAAACCGUCGGGGCACCAUCUGGGGUUUAUUGGCCUCCCUUCUUUCCCGGCGCGUUCCCAUUCUGGUUCGCGUCCUAACGGGUUCUCGUCUGUUACCCGCGCAUUGGCCAUAUCUUCGAGCCGGCUGUGAACGCUGGCUUUGCUACUUGAUUGAUCGCGGUGAUCGGUCCUGCCCCCCUGCCUAUUAUGGCUUCUUCCUUCUGACCGAUCAUAUCGGUCGCUUCUGCCCCCCAGCCGAUCACGCAUGGAAGGGCGUUGAUCAUCUGAAUUUCGCCGAUUCCUGUUGAUCGGUUCUGGCCUUCCGUCUCUAGAGCGAGACCUUGUGAACGGCCGAUUGUUUCGAUAGGGGCCGUUGCACUCUGGGCAAGUAUCGGCUGAUGGAAGUCUGAGGUUAUUUUCCCAACAGUGGAUGAAGAAUGGGCAUCUCCAAUGCUCCUCGUGCCGACGUAUUGCUUCCUCUCGGGACCUCGAUCGUUCAUGUUGGCGCUGGUAUUUUUGGAGUAGGAACUGGGAAGUGAUGCGUGGUCCUUCUGGCUCACCGUCGUCGUCCUCCAUCCGUCGCUUCUCCUUGAUGUCUUCAGACGUGACUUGAUUCCUGGGAUCGACAGCGCCACUCUUUUUUGCCGAUUCGGACGUCAGCACUUUUGUUUGGAGGGGAUUCUUACCCGUAUCCGCCAUGUUGGUAGGAAAUGGAUGCUGAUCAAUCUUCAUUGGUUUGGCCGGUUUUGCCGGCACUUCAAACUUGAGUCUGCCCUGUUCAAUGGCCGACUGUAUUUGUUGUCUGAAGAUUUUGCAUUCAUUGGUAUCAUGCGACGUGGCAUUGUGCCAUUUGCAAUAUUUCAUCUUCUUCAACUGUUCGGCAGAGGGAAUCGUGUGGUAAGGUGAGAGUUUAAUCUGUCCUUCCUGGAGUAGAAGGUCAAAUAUUUUGUCAGCUUUAGUAGUAUCGAAACCGAAUGCUUCCGGCUCCUUUUUGCCGAAUGGGCAUGAUAUUGGCUUCUUUCCCUUAAUCCACUCUGCAAGUCCGAUUUCGGCGUCUUCUUCAUCCUCUACUUCUUCCAGGAAUGCUACUUUCUUCUGGAAAUUCCUCCUUGGGUCAAAUGGACGCACCUCCUGCCCGGACAAUCGGUGGACAAUCUGGCUCAGGCUCUCGAACUCUUGUGAAGCAUAUUUUUCUUUAAUAUGUGGCAGUAGGCCUUGGAAAGCUAUAUCGGCCAACUGCGCAUCAGUUAGAGCCAAGGAGUAGCACUUGUUCCUGAUUUCCCGAAACCUCUGUAUGUACGAGGGUAUCGGCUCAUCACUUUGUUGCCGGAUGCUAGUCAGAUCAGACAGCUUCAUUUCGUGGACUCCAGCAUAGAAGUACUUGUGAAAUUGCUUCUCUAGAUCGGCCCAUGUGAUAAUCGAGUUUGGUGGUAGAGUGGUGAACCAUUGGAAAGCCGAUCCAGACAAAGAUGACGAGAACAACCGUACCCGCAGGGCAUCUUGCGUAGCUGCUUCGCCGCAUUGGAUGAUGAAUCUAUUCACAUGUUCUACGGUAGAAGUAUCAUCCAUUCCGGAAAAUUUAGUGAAAUCCGGAACUUUGUACCGAUGGGGAAACGGCAACAAGUCAUAUGUAGAUGGGUAUGGUGUCCUGUAGGUAUAAGUUUGAACCUUCGGCUUCAAGCCGAAUUGUUCUUGCAUCACUUCCGCGAUUUGCGCCGCCCAAUCUGGUUGUUGCUGGGGAAUAGCUGGCGGCGGAAUCGGCACAUGUUGAUAAAUCGGAGGUUGAAUGAAAGGGGACUGGUGAAAAGGUGGUAUCUGAAUAUAAGCCGGCGGUGUAGUAAAGGACGGCUGCUUGUAGGCACCACUCGUUUCAUCAUAUAGCAUGAGUUCUGACGUCUUGUUGACCUCCGGAGCGGUAGGCUGGUAUGGUGGUAUGAUUGGCCGAGUGGCCGUUUGGGAAGGUGUCUGGAACGGAGGAUUUCCUUGACUAACCGAUUGAUUCAAACCGGUCGUGUUUAAGGGUGCCCCCCAGGGUAAAGGGAUAACUGGAGGGAGCGGUGCGGUGGACGGCUGGAUGGAGCCGUAUCCCAAAGGAGUUGAUGACGUAGAAGCACCAGAUCCUCCGACAGAGGAUUGGAUCGGUUGUGAAGUCUGAUAGGCCUGAUUUUGUGGAAUCGGCUGAAAAUACGUAGGCCCCCUGUACCCCUGCGGUAUACCUCCGGCAAAGGAGUUGACAACAGCAUUGUGCACCAUGUUUGAGAGUACCGGGGAUUGGUUGAUGAAAGCGUGAUGAAGAGAUUGCUGAAUCAUAUCGGACAUUUUGUCCGAAUCUUCUGAAAUCGUGAUCUGGCGGGGAGUAGGAAAAGGAGACUUUUUAAUAGUUUCCCCGCUCCUGGAACGACUGAAAGACUUCAAGCAAGUUCUCCGGACUUGCUCCAAGUAUUGAUUCAGAUCCUCUUUUUGGUCGUCCUUUAGAUCUGCUUCCGUCACUUCGAUGACGUUAUCUUCGGAGACUUCAGCAGCUUUCGACAUGACAGCGGUUGUGAUGGUCCCACCGGGCGUGCCAAAAGUGUGUUGGUGCUAGAAAUCGGUCAACCGGAUCCCAGCAGCCGACACACGACCCGGGAGAAUCUGCUUAGCUCCUGUUCGGGUGAAUGCCCUGGUGCGGUUCGCGCGGCGUGCCAGCCAAUCUGACCUGUUGAUUGGCAAGGAAAAACACGUGUCAAAUUCAGUAACUACGAUCGGCUAAGUUUCCGAUCGGGAAAGCUUAUCGGCAGAUCAACCGAUUUACUGUAGUAGAGAAAUCGGCUACAAGACAGCACGAUCCCCGUAGCCUUGUAGAUAGAAAAAUAUUAAAGUAAUCGGUACAAGGUACGUAGUAACAGCACUAGGAAAAGAUCUAAUCGGCAACAGAUGGAUCUAGUAACGGAAGGUAAUGAAAGCCGAUACUACCGAUUCCUAGCGGGAUAACUGGUGAUAAAAACUAGGAAAAUAGGCAAAAACCUAUGAAGCUAGUUAAUACCGAUAACUGAUGAAUAAAUCUAAACGAAACAACAGCGAUACGCCAGAAGUUAAAGCUUAGAAAUUACUCGAUAAACGGAACUGACAGAAUCGGCCGGAGAUCAAGAUGAUGCAGCCCUGCCAAUCCGCACGAACUCGUGAGAAGGAAAAAGUGAUGGCGAAGUCGCCUGCUCGAAAGUAAGUAUGAAGAAUAAAGUAACUUGUUGUAUUGAUUGAUUGUUGUUUACAGAUUUACAAAGGUAGCUAUUUAUAGCCCCGUACAAAUAAUCUUCUUUAACCGACUAGGACUCUAUCUCUAAUUCAAACAGAAAACAAAUAUCUACAAGCACAAUCCGUGCUAAACUAAUUACCCCACGCUUCGUGGGCUGAACUCCUCCUCAUCUUUCCACCUUCCCAAGCCCAUACAGGCCCACUUUAGUCCACUUUCCUGAUCGGCCGAUUUUUCAUCAGCGAAGGAUUGCCGAUUGGGAAUCUGACGUAUUCACUCUGAAGUGAAGUAAAAGCCACUUGACCGAUUCCGCACUGUAGCCCCUUUUGACCGAUUCCUAUCUGUAUUCUUUCGAUUUCUCUCUUCUUUGACGCCGAUUCUACUGAUGACGAAAUCCGGCGUCAACAGCUACAUCUAGCACUCGCAAGAGUUUAAAGCUUGGAUGCAAGACCCAACUCUGAAUAUCACAACUAUAGGCAACCAAUGACCUCACUUGUGCGAUGUUCAUGUGAUCGUCCUGCUGAGUUUGCUUCAUAAUUCUGUUCUGGAGAGCUAACCUGCGCACCCUGUUCUGAUGUGGCAAUGUUCCUUCAUCAUCAUUUGAUGAGAUAGUCACAAAGUUUUCUUCAUAUGACAAGGCACAUAUGAGAUCAAGAACCAUGUCAUGAACACGACAGCCAUAUACUAUGCCAUUCGCUUCUGACUCGAAUUGUGUUCAGUUAACCACCAUAUACCAAGUAAGCACUAAGCAUGAGUUACCCAACAUAAAGUAACCCGGUUUGGUCAAGGCAAAGGUAAUUCAAUCUAGGCGAACCUUAAUUGGGACCCAUCAACUUAAUCUUAACAUGUGCAUAGCAUAAAUGUUGAGUACGAGAAAGUAAAGGUGUAUAGGAUGAAAAGUAGUGAUCAAGGACACGACUUGCCUUCUUGGCCUUGCUCCUGCUGUUCGUACUCCUCGAAGGCUUGGUCUUCAACUCCCUCGAACUGCGGGACGUCUACACGCGUCACACGAGCACAUACAAGCAAACAUGGGCAAAAAGUAAGAAACAGUACACCAAUCACAAUUAAACAGAAAAAACAAUCUUGAAAAGUUGAUCUACGCUUUAAAACGAACAUGUGGAUAUAAAGAACGCGAAAAAUGGAGUUAAGAUGCAAAAGAUAUGAUUAAAACAAGAUCCAGGGGCUUUUCUGUGAGAAAAACAAAACUUUUAGGGCCAAACCGCGAAAACCGAGGGCUUAUACGUAAUUACGCGUAUAAACCGAAGGUCUAACACGCAAAAACUCCAAAACGGAUGGCGGGUUGAUUUUUAGAAAGAUUAAGGGUUAAACCGAAAAGUGCAAGGGCAGAUCUGUGAAUAUUUUUCAACGCGAUCUGGACCGCGGGUUGAUUUGCGGAAAAGGUGGGGGCUUAAGAGCAAAAGAGGCGCGGCGCGGCGCGGUUGACUGUUACGUGGUCGGAUUGACCCGCUACGAGCCGUCGGAUCUAGAUCCUACGGUCGCGGUCGUCGACGACUCGCGGCGGCGGCGGAAAAGGGCAGCCGGCGGCGGCGAGCGGCGACGAGGUCGCCGGAGUUGGCCGAAAAAGCGCUCCGGGGCUCAGUUUCGCGCGCGGAAUGCACGAGAAGAAAGAGGGGGACUUGGCGAGCUCGUUUUGGCGGUCCUUGACGACCGAGGCUCACCGGAAGCGACGCUUGACGGCGGGGAAGAGGCGGCGGCGCUGGAGCUUUGGGCGCUAGGGUUUCGGGUGCUGCGGGCGCUGGUGUUGUCGACUGAGAGGGGCGGAGGCUUAUAUAGGGGCGGCGCGCUUGGAGAUAGAGGCGGCUCGAGUUCAAACGCCCGACGGAUUUGGAGCGGGGGCGAGGCGGUUACGGAGCCGGCGGCGCGGCGGUUGCGGGAGGAGUCCCGACCGGAGGUGGGAGAAGAUGAGGGUCCCACCUGUCGGCGGACGCGGGUGGUAGGCGGGCUGGCGAUGCUGUUGGGCCAGCGCGCGUUCGCGGGUCACGGAAGAAGCGGCGAAGUGGCGGGCCGCAGGGGUGGAGGGAGCUGGGCCGGCAAAGGAGAAAUAGGAGGGGGCCGGCGGAGCUUCUGGCGGCUGGGCCGCGUGAGAAGGUGGAGCGGUGGUGCUGGGCCGAAAGAAGAAGGGGAAAGGGAAGGAAAGGAGGAUGUGGCCCAAGGAGAGAAGAAGAAAAGAAAAAGAAGAGGGAAAAAGGAUAAAAGGUUUUGGAAUUUGAAUUUAAACUUGAAAUUCAAAUUUUGGUUCAAACUCAAACAAUCAAGAAUUAUGCUCCAGCAUGAAUGCACAAUAAAUUCCUAUGAUGAGUUAAUUAAAUUAAAGAAAAUGAAAUUAAAUGCCUAGAAUUUAAAUGACAUCCUAAUUUAAGCAAAUUUUAAUGAAUUUGAUUUCUCUAAAAUUUUGGGUGUUACAUCAGCCUUAUCAAAAAAAUACCAAAUAGUCACGAAAGCUAACCUUCAAGGUGCAAUAUUACAAGGAAAAGUUAGCAUUUUUUAGGUGCACACCACAUCAUCCCUGAUACGCUGAUGUUCGUGUGUGGACUGAAUUAAUUAGUCAGCAUUAGGUGCACAUGAUUUGGAGUUACUUUAUGUUUUUUAAUAACACACGGGUAAUUUUACAACAGUGUAUACAGUAUCCAUGUGAAUAUGAGAGGAUGGGCUUGUCGCUUAAAAUGGCUGUCCUUUAAGACUUGACUCUCUUCAACGAGAUGAUCUAUAGGCCGAAGCAGCGCAAACUACAAGACGUUAGAUCAAAAACCAAUUGACUAGCCUGCACGUCAAAUUAAACUACGGUCCAAUCACUGAUGGGUUUGUCGCAAUUGCCUAUUUUUAUAUGUGUUCUCUCAAGCUCUGUCUGCCUUUACGAACAGAGCCAGCUCAUCUGAAUUCUACUGGAGCAAUGCCCCAAUCGAACUAGCAGAAUAUGCAUGACAGCAAGAUGUGGUAAAAAGCGAGAAAAACUUUACUGAAAAUACGAAACAAAACGAGCAGGACAGCAUAAUAUAUGUCCCAAAAGUUAUUUGCACGACGUACAUGACACAGCCAAAUGGAAGAAACCAACAAACUAGCAGCUCAGAUAUUAUUACAGGUCUGAAACUGCAGGAAACUGAAUUGCCUAGUAGAUCAACCCGGUACACAGUUACGCACCUCCAAACAUUAAUUAUCUAGAAUCAAUUGCCAUGGUUUGUGUCGUUGCUGAAUCAAUUGGUUUAUCUUGUGUAGACAGAUUACAGCAAAUCGACUUGCAAGGCAGGACUGGAUAUUUAGAAAACAGAAACAGAGUCGGACGGUGACUAGAAACAGAGUCCAUUCAGGUAAAGCUAUCGAUCAGGCCUAAUUCCACACCAGCAGACCCGUGCGGUCAACUAACUUUCCACUGUUCCAAAUCCGACAAUAACUUGCUAUGGUCUCAGCAAUGCGUAUGGGUAGUCCCUCCUCCUUUUUCUAGGCUUGGGAUGCUAUGUGAAAUUAAGUAUUACCUUAAAAUUGCAUAGGCAGAGUUCCCUACCCACCCACUCAAAAGAAACAAAAAUAUAGAUAUAAGAAUUUUAUUUUGUAGUUUUCCAGGUUUUGCUUUUUUUUCGGAUUUUUUUUGUUUUUUCUUAGCUAGGAAACAAUGAAAAUAUUGUGCACACGAUAUUUAAAAGAAUAAACAUGCACCACAAAUUCAGGCAUGUCAAACCAAACAUGUGCCAGGUAACAUGCACUGCUACCAUUCCAGGGUCCUGAAGUUAACUCCUCCCACCGAGCAACUCCUCCCACCGAGCAAGCCAAGCUUAACCUGCAUGAGGGCCGUCAAGGAAAAUAAAAAUUUGUUUAGUACAAGAGAACUUGCAUGCCGACAUUAAUAAGUCACUGGAAACGGACGGAACUCAGACACAAGAACGGAUAUAUGUACGUAUGUAAAUGUCAAAUGUAAUAUAUAAAAAAUACUACCAAACAAUAUAUAUAUAUAUAUAUAUAUAUAUAUAUAUAUAUAUAUAUAUAUAUAUAUAUAUAUAUAUAGCUUUUGGUAUUCAUCUAUACAUAUACAAACAUAGUGCAAACUAUGAAUCUAGAAAUACCAAAACGACAUACAAUUUGAAACGGAAGGUGUGUGUAUAUAUUACUAGAGGAGCCAUAAAUAAGGCAGAAUGCAUCGUGCUAGCGAACUGAGCAACAAUUGGACAUGCUAGUAAGUAGUAAGAGAUUUUGGGAUGGGCUAAUAGCGUGGAGAGAGUGCGCAUACAUGUGCAUGCAGAAGAGGCAAGACUGAUUUGCAUUGAACAGAUUCAACAGCCAGGUGUCGCGGGGUUGUCGCAUCCUGACUCCGUGACAGCAGCUUCAUCGCCAGCUGCUGAGGCCCCGCCAUUGUCGGAAACAUUAUCACCAUCAUCGGACUGGAAUUGGGAAGGAAUUUGACUAGUUAAAGAAAAGUCGAACUGCAUGUUGGAAGUUACCAUGCACGUACCAAAUAAUCGUCUUUGCGUCGUUUGAGUAUGAUUCUUGGACCGUUGGGAUGGAGUUGUGAUGUGUUCCUCAGCUCAGCCUCUACCUUCUCCACGUCAUCAAUAGAGGCACCCUCACAGUCGACAGCUAUUUUGACACUGCAAAAUGAAGGGAGGCACUCCAGCCCGAGAUCACCGCAGCUACCGUUUCCAUCCUUAUAUAAGGCCCUGACGGGAACAUCAAACCAAAGCUCUUGGAGGUUCGGCAUCACUGGCUGUUGUGCUAUUGAUCUGCUGCAUUCAUCCUUUGUUUUGGUACCAAAGGCUGUAGCACCCAUCCCAUUCCAGAUGCUAAAUGAAACACCAGUAGAGUACUCGUUGAGCACCAACUGGACCAUCCAACCAUACAACUUGCAACAUCUCAACUUCUUGAAGAAGCCAUCAACCACAGUAUUUAUAUUAGCUACAGUUGCCAUGCAAGCCAUCGACGGCCGACGCGUUGACAGAAUGAGGAAACGGAGCUCUGGCAAUGCACCCAGGGCUCUCAAACCUCGCUCGUCCAUAUGAUCCACUCUCAAGCACAAGUAGUGGAGGAUGGGGAGAUGCAUGGGACUAAUCCCUGAUGACAGCUGACGGAACGGUACAGAAGUUAACUCCAAAUGCUGGAGAUGCCCCGGAAACACCGCUCUGUCCCACUCCCUCAUUGCGGCUUCACCCUUAUAAUCCCUUAGUUCCAGAUGCUGGAGUUUGUGGAGAUUGCCUAGUGAAUGCACAAGAUCUGACUGCACUAUCCCUUUCAAGUGACCAACACUAAUGUUGAGCACCCUGAGUUCGCUCUGGUUGCCAACGUCCUUCAUAAAUUGCCGCUGGGACUCCUCAUCCAAGUUAUCAAUACGUAUACACAGGUACUCUAAUGACGUCACCUUCCUCAGGAUCGACCCAUCAGGCACGCACGUAGAGAAGUCGCCACGUAGGCAGACCAACUGCGUUAACUGGCAAAUGGCCGAUGGCAGUACCUUUACAUAAGAACCAUGCAAGUGAAGUGUCUGUAGAAACUUCAGUUUUCCUAUUUCUUCCGGGAGCUGAUUAAUACCAGAUUCACCACCUUGUACAUAUCGUAGCCCAAGGUACCUCAAAUGAAGUAGAUUUCCAAGGUGCUUAAGACCCUGCCAGCCUGGCUCAGGCAUUUUGUAUUGCGCUACAUCUAGCACUCGCAAGAGUUUAAAGCUUGGAUGCAAGACCCAACUCUGAAUAUCAGAACUAUAGGCAACCAAUGACCUCACUUGUGCGAUGUCCAUGUGAUCGUCCUGCUGAGUUUGCUUCAUAAUUCUGUUCUGGAGAGCUAACCUGCGCACCCUAUUCUGAUGUGGCGAUGUUCCUUCAUCAUCAUUUGAUGAGAUAGUCACAAAGUUUUCUUCAUAUGACAAGGCACAUAUGAGAUCAAGAACCAUGUCAUGAACAUAACAGGCAUAUACUAUGCCAUUCGCUUCUGACUCGACCGCCUGGAUCAUGCUUCUAUUUAUGAGCUGAUUGAAGUAUUCCUCUCCCUGCUGAAACAAGCUGGUCCCUCUUUUCUUCUCCACGAAACCUUCAGCUAUCCAUUUCCAUAUCAAAGAAUCUUUCUCAAUAUCAUAGUCUUCUGGAUACACGCUUAGAUACAGUAAGCAGGUCCUUAGAUAAGAAGGCAGAUCAUAGUAGCUAAGAGACAAUAUCCACUCAGUAUCAUCUACCUGCUGGUUACCCUGACCACGAUAGAAACCAGGAGAGUUGCACACAGCAAACCAAUCUUCUCUUGAUUUACCCACCAGCAAACUGGCCAUUGUGAUGAUAGCUAAUGGUAUACCACCACAUUUUUUCAGAAUCUUUUCAUAUGCCUCCGCAGGGUGAUUAGCAGGAUAUUCACCAUUAACACCAAACAGCCUUGUUUUGAAUAAUUUCUCUGAGUGAUCAGGGGAAAGUGUGCGUAGCUCAUAAACCUCCUCCAUGCUGGCUACAUCUUGAUUGCGAGUAGUUGUGAUUACUCUACUUCCACUCUCAUUCUCAACCAAGGCUGUUUUAAUUGUCUUCCAAGUUGGUAUGUCCCAUACAUCGUCAAUAACGAUGAAGUACCUAGCAACAUGACAGUACGGAUUAAUACCCAAAGUUGAUAAACCGUUGACCAUGUAUAAAAGAAAGAAGAGUGACAAAGUAUAGAAUAAAAUCUUUAAAAUGCUAGAAAAAAUUUACUAAUAUAAUGUAUUCUAUUAUCUAAAAUCUACUCUAUAUUUAUGACCUUGAUGUAAAUAUUGUAGUUUAUAAAGUAAACAUUAUCUUUAUAAACACAAGAGAGUUUUAUCUACAAUAAAGUCUCAUUCCUUAAAGUUGAAUUGUUUUAGUAUAAUGAUAGAUAGCAUAUCAGGGAGUAGCUUUAAAUAUUUACAGCCAGUAGAUAGCAUAUCAAAGACUAGAAUUGUCUAUGGCUACGUGAUAGUUAAGGAAUAACAAUUCAACUUUAAGCCUUUUAAUGUGAAUUUAUAACGUUGUCUCCCUUGCCAGUCUGUCGUAAAAAUUUGUGAAAGUUGUGCUCGACUAAUUCGUAAGGAAACAAAAACAAUUUCAAAACUAACAGAGAAACUAUUAAUUUAGUGACAUAUGCUCAUCAUCUUAAUUAGAGCGUUGAGUACCUCUUGUUUUGGAGGAAUGUUCGGAGUUCACUAAUAAGCAGGGAUUCGUUCUUUACAUCACGAAUGGCCUCGUACUCCUUUUUGUCGAGAAGAAGGAAGAUCUCUUUCAAGACUUGUGCCAGGUCAGGUUUCCGGCCAACGGAAAGAAAGGCUCUACAAUCAUAUCGCGGACUAUCACAAAGCUCAUCGUAAACCGCCUUGGCAAGAGUCGUCUUGCCCAGUCCCCCAACUCCAACCACUGAAACUAUCUUCAUCUUGUUAUUGCUGCCAGAGACGUCAGAAUCUCCAUUGCCGUGAGGCGUCGGCAGAAGCAUGGCUAUGAGGUCCCCCUUCGUCUCCUCGAUGCCGAUGAGCUGGGCUGCUUCUUUGUGCAUGUCCGCAAGGCGAGGAUCCGGCUUUGUUGGCAACACAGGUUGCGACACCGCAACCGAGAACCUGUCACGGCGGUCAGCCACCUCCUGAAGUCGCUUCUUCAUGGCCUCGAUGGCGCCGGCCAUGGUGUGGCGCUCCUUGCUCUUGUUGAACAAGUUGGCAAUAUUCUUGAGGAGACGUUUGAGUAGGCCAUCCUUCUUCUCAGCUGGGGUGUCUACGUCGACGAUGCUGACAAGGAAGGUGUCGAGGAUGUCCUCCAUGUCGUAGGACGCCUCCCUGACCUUGCUAGCCCACAGCUUGACCUGUGGAUCAAGCUGCUCCGGCGGCACCUCGCCCACCUUGCUGAGAGCCGUCUGCGCACUCUCGAGCUCAUCUUUCAGAAACUUGAUUUGCUCAUGCAGGCCCUUCUGCAGAUUGUACUCCGCCUGGAGCAGCUCGCCGAGCUUUCCGAUGACGCUGCCCACCGCCCCGGACACAAGAUCCAUGCCGCAAUGCGCCAAGCUGGGGCUAGGCACCAAGCUCUCGAGAGAUUGGCAUGUUCAGCCUUAAUUACUUGUAACACCUGCAAGCGUACAAGCCCAGUGUGGAUAGCUCUUGAGAUGAAACAAUAAACUUGGCAUGUGCAAAGCUGAUAUAACAGGUAAUUGUGAAACCUGCAAGUAUACAAAUUAAUUGUGAAACGAGAAGCGACUCAGAGCAAUUUAAAGCACAAACGAGAAGCAUGGAAAUGGGCAUCUGUGUGUCACUGAUACUAGAUCUCUAAUAAGGAGCAAUGAAGAACAGCAUCUGUGUAUAGAUAAGAUAUGGGGAGCCAAAUUAAAGUCACGCACCUUACUUCUGGUUCAGAUCUUGGGAUUGUGCUUGAGGAAAGAAUGAAGGAUUGAUGGGUGGUUGCAUUGAGUUCAAGAUGAAGCGCAGCUUGUCGUGAAUGAGCCAAGCACUGGGGUUUUAAAUAUAGUACUACUGCAAGAAAAGUAUAAAAAAUAAUAUUGAGGAAAGCUAGAUCGAGAGCAUUCCGUUUGCAAAAAAAAAAAGAAAAAGAAAGAAAGCUAGACCGAGGACACUUAAGAUUUAUAGAUAGAGCUAGGGAGAAGAUUUUAAUGCCAAACACAUAGCUCAAACUAAAGGUUCCUGUAAAGUGAUCACAAUCGAAUAAAGAUAACUAAGCACUAGUGGACUAGUAGAUUCCUGUAAAGUGAUCACAAUCGAAUAAAGUGAUCACAAUCGAAUAAAGGUUCACAAUCGAAUAAAGAUAACUAAGCACAUAUCAAAUGUGGUUGAAAAAGUGAUCACAAUCGAAUAAAGAUAACUAAACACAUAUCAAAUGUGGAUGGAAAAGUGACGACAAUCAAAUAAAGGUAACUAAGCACUGGUGGACUAGUAGAUUACUAACUGGAGGGACGGGCUAAUUUCAUUAAUCCGCUGCUAGAUCUUGUGCUACUAUAUAUAUCAUAUUCAACAGGGGUGCAAAAGGGAGAUAUAUGCAAUAAACAUUACAGUAACUGAUGACUAUGGACUCACCCAGCUAGCAUGCAUCAAGUUGACACAAGUGCAAUCCAAUAUCAAUAUAUACGUAGCAAUCCAACAUUACAGUAGCAAGAUGGUAGCAGUAGCAAGAUGGUAGCUCAAUAUAUAAGGAGCAAUGAAAAACAGCAGUUUUUUUUUCUUCAGAAGGACCUUUGCUAACACUUUCGUUCCUGCAUUAAUCAUCAACCUUUCUAACAGAGCAACUCAGAGAAAUUUACGCAGGCACGCUAAUUAAUUGUGAAACCUACCAGCUAAGAUGUAAAGCACAAACGAGAAGCCAGAAAAACCCUCUUUGUAUCUUAAUUAGUACUUGAUUUGUACCUGUCCUUUUUUUAAUUGGUAAAACCCUCCUGUUUCCCCAAAAAAGAAGCCAGAAAAGAAAAAAUAAUGCGACUUUAGAUCGCAUUGCCAAAUUAAUUUAGAUCAAAAGGAAGAAAGAAAUUUAGAUCGAGGCCAUUAAGCAAGAAUUAUAGGAUUGAUGGUUCAGCUCUUCGAUUGUGCUUGAAGAAAGAAUGAAGGAUUGAUGGGUGGUUGAGUUCAAGAUGAAGCGCAGCUUGUGGUGAAUGAGCCAAGCACUGAGUGCAGGAAAAGAAUAUAAUAAUAUGGAGGAAAGCUAGAUCGAGAGCAUUCCGUUUGAAAAAACAAAGAAAGAAAGCUCGAUCGAGGACACUAAGUAAGAUUGAUAGGAGGUUUAAGGGUCCUGACUUGCACACAAACUUCACAUAAACUUCAAAGCCCUCAGCAGGAACAAAGAAUACAACUACACCCACAACUAGUACCAAGAAUUGCUUAGAAUUCUGGAGAAAAUAAUUUCAACACUGUGUUCAAAAGUUUCCUUUGUGUUAAUAUCCAUUCUCUCAAGCUGAUACACUUUUCGUGUGAGAAGCCUUAUCUCAAGUUUUCAGCAAUCCAUUAUUUUCCUCACUUUGUUUCCUUGAUCAAAGAGCUCCAGCUAUGUAUUACAACAUAUGUGUUUUUGUCAGAAGGACAACCUUGCUAAUGCAAUCGCACCUGCAUGAAUUGUGGAUCUAAAAUAGAACGAAGAAAAUAGAAUAACAUUGAGCUAUUUACACAGGCUACCAAGAACAUGCUGCUACCAGCUAGGAUUUCAAGCACAAUCGAGAACAAGCAAGAAAAAGAAAAAAAAUAAUAGGGUGGAAAAAUGUAGAUCGAGGAUAUUUCGUUCAAAAGAAAGAAAGAAAGCUAGAUCAAGAAAACAUUAAGCAGGAUUGAUAGAUGGAGCUCCUCGAAUAUGUGCUUCGGAUCUAGGUAGAGAGAAUGAAGGAUGGACGGGCUUUUCAUGAAGAAGACCACUGCUUGGUGGGGGGUAAUAUCUGUUUGCUACCAAGGAUGUGAGAUAUUGAUCUGCGAGGACUAGACUUGGUUGGUGAGCCUCAGUUAUUCUAAUUCAUCACGAAGGAAACAACCACUCUAACUCGCGACACACACGUACUGACUCGCACGCCAGGAACACACCCAUGACGUGUUUAUUUCCAACACUCUAUCCGCUUCCAAACAGGAUCGUCUAAAGCUUUGCUAGAUGGAGGACAUUAUGCAAGGUUGAUAGGCAUGGAUAUAAGAUUUCAGGCACAAUCGAUAAGCAUGGAGAAUAAUUGAUAGCCAAAUUGACUUAUACGAACCUUCUUGCUGAUUCAGCUCCUUGAUUGUGCUUCAGAUCGAUCUCCCUAGGGAAGAAUAAUGGAUGGGCUUUGGUUGAUCGACUUGCAGUUACAGUGAAUGAGCCGAGGACUGGCGGCGGUACCAAUAAUUGGAGGCCGCUGCUCUGCUUGCUACCAAGGCCUGUGACGCAUGGACCCCAUUGAGAGUGCCACCACUGAUUGAUCAGCUCUCUGCUGGGCUCCCACACCACUAAUUGACAUAAAGCAGCAGGUGGCCCAGGAUUCACGACAAGGCAUGCAAAAAACGGAUGCUGCAGUGGCACCAAAGUUAGCGUGCAAAAAACCAAUCUUCCACUGCAUGGAUGUGAGAUAUUAGAUGGGAGCUCCACACCACUGAUUGGUGAUCAGUAAUUCUAAUUCAUCAGGGAAGGAAAGAUGGCAGUAUUAUAAAGCAGGCUAGCAGCAUGUGUCUCUGUGCUUGCGUGGUCUGAUACCUCUGUCCAUGUACAGCAAGUCAAGUCUCCGGGGUCCCGCGUUCCUAGAUUCCCUGUGCUCCUAGAUUCAUCUCCAUGGCAUAGAGAGCGUUCAUCACGUGGCACACGGAGUGUCUGGGAAAGGGAUGACACGCAACUGUGAUCCAGGGAUGGCAUGGGAACGGGACGGCACGCACUUCCGAAGUUAGGGCAUGUUUUUUUAGCUGUAAUUUUGAUCUUUUCUGAGAAAUUGUUGCUAGUUUUUUUUUGAAAAACUGACACUAGCUUUUUAGAAGAUGUGUUUUGUUUUUUGAGCUCAGAAAGCUAUUGAGCUUUUUCAACUUCUCAUAUAAACUUAAUUUUUACGAGCUUCUAGCUUUCCGACAGCUGCACGAGAAAUUCAUUAUUUGUGCUUCUAACUUUUCACCCCAAGAAGUUGCCUGGAAUCUCAAACAAAGCCCAAGCAAAGAAGACCGUCAAAGCUAUAAAGUUCAUGGCACGCGAGCAGUAUAUAUUAGCUGCCACAAAACAAGCUUUCCGAAUUUGUUAUAUCCAUCAGCCAUUGGAAAACUUUCAGGACCGCUCCAAUUUUUUCUAUACAGGAAAACUAAAAGUCUUUAUCAAAAUAGAUGAAUGAAGAGCCAAGUACGUGUCCCGUAUCUCAACUAUGAAUUCCAAUAUACAAAAAGAAAAGUCUGAUGCCUGAACUCCGCCUACAUAUGCAUUGAUGCGAACGGGUGAUGAUUGAAGUGAUAAGUAGAGACUAACUAAGCAAUACAAUCAUGUAGGGCUGAUCAAGACAAGCGCCGCAAGAUUGGAGAUCAGGCUGAAAUGAUCAUCAAAUUUUUGAGCUUUUGAAAUGAUCAUCAAGAUUGGAGACUAGUGUAACACCAAGCUUUUGAAAUGAUCAUAAAUUUUUUUAACAAAGUUUAAACAUUUUUUCAUACAAACUCCGAAGAAUAUGUUUUUUUUAUGAAAACUAUAAAUCCCGAUGAGAUAUACAACCUUUUAGUUUUGAGUUUAUUUGCAUUUUUUUUGUUUUUCCUUAGCUAAGAAACAAUGAAAAUAUUGUGCACAAGAUAUUUAAAAGAAUGUACGUGCGCCACAAAUUUAGGCAUGCCAAACCAAAUACGUACCAGGUAACACGCACUGCCACCAUUCCAGGGUGGGUCCUCAAAUUAACUCCUCCCAUCGAGCAAGCCAAGCUUUAACCCACGUGAGGGCCGUCAAGGAAAAUAAAAAUCUGUUUUGUAUAAGAGAAGUUGCAUGCCGACAUUCAUAAGUCAUCGGAAACGGAACUCAGUCACACGAACUGAUACAUGUACGUAUGUAAAUGUCAGAUACUCAGAUGUAAUAUAUAUAUAUAUAUAUAUAUAUAUAUAUAUAUAUAUAUAUAGACACACACAUGAAUCCAUGUGAGUCGUAUGUUGUGCCCUAAAUUAAGCUGCUCCCUCGUCACAGAGCAUCAAUCAGCUCCAAGGCUGCCACAUCUAGGGCGCAUUUGGCCAGGCUCUGGGAGCAACUCCUCGAGCGGCUUCUCCCGAAGCCGUGCCAAAGGGCGCGGGACGCCUGAAAUGGCUCCGGCUCUGCCGGCGGAGCUCUGGUGUCUUUUCGGGCCGGCGGAGCUAAAAAAACGGGCUCUCGUGGCUCCUCCUCCUCGUUGCCCACCGUUGCCCUCUAGGGAGGGCUCGCAGGCAGGCGGACGCACCUCCAGGCGGGCGAGCGACGCCUGACAGCAGAGCUCCGGUGGGCGGUGGCCAACGGCGACGGUGGGGGCGGAGACGACCGGGAGGCGGGGGCGGAGACGGUGAUGGCCGGGAGGAAACGGGAGGCAGGGGUGGGGGCGGCCGACGGCGACGGUAGGAGGCCGGCAGUUGUGGGCGGCGGGGGAGAGUGGAUAGGAGCGGCGGUGGGAUGAUAGGGAAGAGAGAGAAGAAUGGGAGGCCGGCGAUGGGAGGAUAGGGAAGAGAGAGAAGAAGGAGAGAAAAGAAAUAGGAAAAUGAAUGCGAGGAGAGAAAAGAAAUAGGAAAAGGAAAUAGGAAGAGAAAAGAAGAAAACUAAAUAGGAAGAAAAGAAAAAAAGAAAAGGAAAAUGAAAGGGUAUUAUGGUAUUUCAUCUUAUCUAACCAUUUUAAACUACACGGAAGAGCCGUUUUGCCAAACGAUUUUUCAAAAGGAGGAGCCAGAGCCGGAGAAGCCACUCCACCGGAGAAACCAGAGUCGGAGCCGUUUUCAGAGAAGUCGGAGACCUGCCAAAUUAGCUCUAGUGUGGAGUAACUUGCGAUGGCCUGUCGGAGACCUCCGGAGCAACAGCAGCAUCAUAUCAGUGUAGGAAACUCUUUAAAGCAUGCAUCAGUGUAUGGCAAAGAAUAUACAGGUAACACACGGAACUCUUUAAAGCUUAAUUGCAGCUGAUGAGAUGAUCAUGACCGACAAGGAUGAAUGGGGCACCGGGCCUAGGGCCAAACCAAAAGAAAAAGGAAGAAGCCGAGCAGAGCAGUGCAGAGUGCAGACCAUGCCAGUGGCAAGCAGCGGAGACUCACAUAUCAGUGAUGAGUGUGGGCACAAGAAGCAGCCUCCAACAUGUGAAUCCUGUGCAGUGAAAUGGAUGAAUUAUUGGGGCCAAGGCGAGCCAUAAAGCUGUUGCCCUGCUCACACUCACUGCUGAGAGCCAUAAUUCAUGGUGGCCACUAUCCUGCUGUACAGACAAGUGACUGCAAGCAAUUCAUUGUUGCCGCAACAGCUAGCGCGAGGGAGGUUAGUUGUUGAUGUCAUCUACUCCCCCGUGAGCUGAGAUUCAUCCUUAUGGGAGAUUCAUUGUUACCACUUUUUACCAAUUUACUAUCCAUGCUGGAGAAUUACCACUUUCACAACACUUUUACCAGUUUACCAUCUAUGUACAGUCAUCUUCUGAAUCAUCCAUGGCCCAUUCUCCAGGCCCAAGCAAAGAAAGACCAUGCAGCUAUGCAUCUGAGGACCCUGAGCAGGGCGACGACACUGACCAGAAAGCAUGAACACGGAGAGAAAAAAAAAAGAAGGAGGGGUCAAACGGAAGUACUGAAGAUGUCCGCUUUCCUUUGUUUCAGUCGUUGUUUCGUGUCUGUCGCGAACAGCGAUUACAUGGCUAGUGAAAACAUGUUCUACUAGCUGUCCAUUUAAAUUUUACAUGGUGUCCACUUUGUCGAGGUGUAGCCUAGCUAGUCUCCUAGCUUGAAUCAGGUUAGGUGCAUUAAGCGGUCGUUAAUUCGCUGUCAUGAAUAUUACUUACCUGGUGUUAAUUCGCUGUUGUAGGUUCCAGUGAAAGGGAAGGCAGGGAGAGGAGCAGGGAUCGUGACAGGGACGACUACGACAGAGGUGAUCAUGGAAGGGAGCGGCGCCGCAGCCGGAGCAGAGACCGCGAUAGGGAAAGAGGGAGGGAUAGGGGAAGAGACCAUCGCUACGAGAGUUUUUUUUUUCGAGAAUACGCAGGAGAGCUGCGUAUCUUUGUAUUAAGAAGAAGAGAAUAGUUCAAAUUACAACGCGGGCCUCCCGGGCACACGCACACGGUUCAGUUUUUAUAGGUAUUACAUUUUGGAAACAAACAACCGGAGGGCUGUGGCCUUAACACGUUACUGACGUUGAGCUUCCACUGGUGCCGGCCAGCCUAUGAUGGAUAGCUGCUUAGCGCCUGCGCAAGACCAUAGCAGCGCCUCCUCCAAAAUACUCUGCACCAGCUGUGCCGGUUGCUUGAAUGAGCCUCUGGUGAACACCCGAUCAUUUCGUUCCUUCCAUAAUUUCCAAGAGGUUAGCAUAAAGGUAGAGUCCAAGCCUUGCCUCAGCCGAGCAUUCGUUACCUCUCGUUUGUGGAUCCACCAGUCCAUGAUUCCCAUUCCAUCAUUAGGUGCAUGAUGUUGCAAAUGCAGGAGUGUAUCGACGUUCUGCCAGACUUGUUGGGAGUAAGGACAGUGAGUGAAAAGAUGAUCAACUGUCUCAGAUUCCUGAUUGCAAAGAGCACAUGCUGUGUUGUCCUGUAACCCACGACGGUGCCUUCUAUCUGCCGUCCAAAGGCAAUCCUUGGAGGCCAACCACAUGAACAGCUUCACCUUUAGUGGAGCCCAAGCUUUCCAAAUCAAUUCUCCCCCGGCAAAUGUAGUUGCACCAUAGAAGAGAGCCCUAUAUGCUGAUCUUGUUGAAAAUGUGCCAGACGGUUCCCAUUUCCAAGUGACCAGAUCCUCAACGCCGGGGCUCAAUUGAAUCUGAUCCAUCGCGUGCCAUAACUGAACAUAUUGGUGCAGUGCGGUUACUGUAGCCGGUCCAACAAUAUCAGAAAUCCAUUGCUUCUGGUUCAGGGCUUGUGCCACAGUUCGCUUCUUUUUGACGCGCGGUCUUAUUAGAUUGCACAAAUCCGGCGCAAUGGUACAGGGUGAGCAAUCUCCGUUCCAUUUUUCACACCAGAAAAGGGCUAAAUUGCCAUCUCCGAGUUGGACCUUAAUGGAAGCCUGAAAGAGAUGUUGUAGCACCCUGUCGUUCGCAAACUGAAGCUGCAGGUGUUUCCAGGGUCUGCUAUCCUCUGUUUUCUGUAACCAGAGCCAGCGUAUGCGCAAAGCCUGAGACAUGAGCCUGAGAUCGGGAAUGCCAAGUCCUCCCAGAUGAGUUGGUCUACAGGCUACUGUCCAAGCCACCAAGCAUUGUCCCCCGUGUGCAGAUGGUUUAGCUGCCCAGAGAAAGCCACGCCGGCGUUUGUCAAUCUCAUGGAACACCCAAUCUGGGACUUUCAGAGAGAUCAGUGUAUGUGUGCAUGAGGAGCUCAUUACUGCCUUCACCAUAGUCAAACGGCCAGCUUUGUUCAUGAGACUUGCCUUCCAUGUUGGCAUGCAAUUUGCAACUUGAUCCACUAGUGGCUGCAAAUGUGAUUUCUUGAGCCGUCCCACUGUCAGCGGUAAUCCCAAGUACUGAAUUGGAAACUCAGUAACUCUAGCUGGCAUAGUGGUGCUGAUUUGCUACAGUUGUGCGUCAGAGCAAGCAAUGGGGGCUAUCUGACUUUUGUUCAGAUUAGUAUUGAGGCCUGAAGCGUUUCCGAAGAACUUGAGGAUUUCUUUAAUAGUGAUCAUGUCUUGGACAACAGGCGCAGCAAAGAGCACCACGUCGUCAGCGUAAAGCGAACACUGAUGAUGUAUAGCCGUGUCUGCCGGUGCAGUUAGGACCCCUGCAAGAGCUGCCUGCUUGAUCAGUCGUUGAAGCACUUCCAUCACGAUGAUGAAGAGCAUUGGAGACAAAGGGUCUCCCUGCCUUAAUCCUCUUGCAUUCUUUAUGAGAUGUCCUGAGCUUCCAUUCAAAAGAACUCUGGUCGAGGCAGUGGAGACCAGUGAAGCUAUCCAGUCACACCAUUUGGUCCUGAAGCCCACAGCUUGCAGAACUUGGAGGAGGAAUGCCCAGCUGACCGUGUCGAACGCCUUUGAUAUGUCAAGCUUGAUUAGCAGUGUUGGUUUUUUCUUGCGGUGCAGGGUUUUAGCUGCUUGCUCGACAAAUUUAAAAUUGUCGUGAAUGGACCACUUUUGUAUGAAAGCACUUUGGUUAAUGUCGAUGAGGCACUCUAGCUCAGGUGCAAGGCGAUUGGCCAAUAACUUUGCAAUGAGUUUUGCAAAGCUAUGGAUCAGGCUUAUAGGCCUAUAGUCGCCUGGAUGCUUUGGUUUGGCUCCUUUAGGAAGCAAAGUGAUCAAUGCACCGUUUAGCCUUCGCAAUUGCGCACAGUUGUUCCUGUACAAUGCAUUGAAAGCUGCCAUCACAUCCUCUUUGAUCACCGGCCAUGCAGCUCGAUAAAAUUCAGCUGUGAAGCCGUCGGGUCCCGGGGCUUUAUCGUUUGGUAGUGAUCUAAUUGUGUUCCAAACUUCAUUUUCAGAGAAGGGCACCUCAAGGUGCUGAAGGUUGGCCUGCUGCAUGCCCAAGGCCACAAGGUCGAUGAACUCACUUCUUUCCACAGCUGUACCCAUGAUGCUCUGAAAGUGAGUAAAAAGCAUUGCCUCCUUUUCUUCCUGUGUAAAAGCUGUGUAUUCUCCUUGUUGCAAGCUUGCAAUGAACUUCUUUUUGAUACGGUUGCUAGAUUGGAUGUGGAAGAGCUUCGUGUUUGCGUCGCCAUCACGCAGAAAGUUGAUGCGGGAUCGCAGCCUUGCCAUGGUCCUUUCUAAAGAUGAAAGGCCUAAAAUUUUCAUCUUUAGUUCUUUCCUGAACUCAGUUUCUUGCUGCGUGAGCUGUCUGUGCUCCUGGGCUCUGUCUAACCAUUGCACUACUGUCCUAGUGAUGAGCAGCUGAACCUUGAUUUGGCCAACAUUACGCUGGCUCCAGCUUUGGAGCUCCCUUGACGUGUUCUUGAGCAAGAUAUCCAUUCUGGUGAAAGGAUCCGUCACAUGUUCAGGGCACUUCCACCCCCUCUGGAUCGCGCUAUCAAACCCCGGGAUCUUAAUCCACCAAUUUUCGAAGUGAAAACGACGCUUGGCAUGGAACGCGGCAUUCGUGGCCAACAGGAGUGGACAGUGAUCAGACAUGUCUGAGGAUAGAGCUUGCAAGAAGCAGAAUGGGAAGGUUAGCUCCCAGUCAAUUGUGACUAGCACCCUGUCUAGCUUCUCAAGUGUGGGGUUCGUUCGCUCGUUGCUCCAGGUAUAACGCCUGCCGUGGAGAUGCAGGUCUUUGAGGUGAAGGUCGUCGACGAACCUUCUGAAACAACCCAUGUUUCUACGGUUGACGUUGGCGUUGCUUUUGUCGGAAGCAUGCAGGAUUAGGUUAAAGUCACCGGCUAUCAUCCACGGGCAAGAGAUCCUACUAUGCAGUGUCCGUAAUUCAUCCAAGAAUUGAACCUUGUCUUCGUCAUGUUGCGGUCCGUAGACGUUGGUUAUGCACCAGGGCUCGGUUUGGGCACCGAACCUGACAGAGACGGUGACAGAGAAGGCACCGACGUCUACGGUUGUGCAUGUGACGUUAGGAGCUUUGCAAGCAAUCAGGACACCCCCGCUAGCGCCAUUGGACGGCAAGUAAGCGUAACUCGUGAAAUUGCUUCCGAGCAUUUCAGCUAGUAGGUACUGUGAAAUGACAGGGAGCUUUGUUUCUUGAAUACAGAUGACAGAGGCAUUUGCAUCACUAGCAACCGUGCGCAGGACGUCCCUACGGCAGCGGGCGUUCAGGCCGCGCGUGUUCCAUACCAGGAUGUUGUAAUUGCUCGAAUCCAUGGAGGAGAGCAACCAACAGAACCGACACAUGUGGCGCAUCAGCAAGCGGCGGCCAUUUGUCCCGCCUGCGACGCGAUCCUGCGGAGCUCGUCAUCAGAAAGGGCGUUAGCAGCGGGAAAGAUAUCUCUCAAUUCCGCAAAGUGUUGCGGCAGCAUUGUUGUGGCGAGGAACUUGUCAAAGUCGGCGGAGGUGACGCGUUCUGCUUCCUCAUCCCACGUGAUUAUGCCUAGCUUCUUCAUCGCGAGCACCUCGCCUUUCUUGGAUGGCCGAACGGUGGUGUUCAACACUUGGUUCGCCAGCCUGCCGCUCCAACGGGGUGUCGGUGCAGGUGUUGGGGCGGCGUUGCUGGUAAGCGGUCUGCCGGCGAGUGGUGCCUGUAUCGCCAGGCGGACGCUAUUGAGAAAGGCCGUUGUCUUCGUGAGAGCUUCCUCAGCAGAAGUUGCUGGUGCCACCGGCGGUGCGUAGUGGUUAGUGGCGUCCGCAACGGCGUGGUUGGAAGCAGCCGUCAGUGAGUCGUGCACCCCGCCUGCCGAAUUUGCAGGGGCGUUAGUCCUGGUCGCCCCAGGUGAGGACGACAGGCAAGUGGGCGUGCACAUAGGUUGUUGGAGCGCUCCAACAUGGCAUAAGCUUUCCUGGGCGCCGUUCAAAUCCGACGACGCUAGCGUGUCGCCCAGGGUCGCCUGGCCGGCUGCACGUUCCGUCUGGCCGGUCACGUGGCAUGCGUACAUGCGCAUCGUGCGCGGUGAGCUAGUUUCCUAUGAUGGCACUGGCGUGCUGUACGGUAGGUUCAUCACCAAGUUUGAAUCAUGCAGGAGCUGGCACUCAAGACGCAUCGGGUCCGCUUCUUUUUCCACGGGGCAGAGGCGCAACGGUAGCAGCUCGUCAGGCGGUAUGGCCUGCAUGGUUCGCCCCGCCAAGUCACUGUAUCCGGUCAGCGAAUUCCGCUUGUCAGAAAAGCUGCCUCGACGAGGCGUGCGCGCGGCGGGUUGCAGGCGCGAAGAGACGGGCGCGCACAGUGCCGCUACGCCAUUGCGGGCCCGCACAGAUGGUGACCGGUCAUUCACGGGCGGGGUACGUUCCGCUGUUGGGGAAGUGGACCCCGGCCCGUUGGCGAGAGCCAUUGCCGGAGCUGUAGGCGUCACCGCCAUCGCCAUGGCCGAAGCGGUGGAGCUUGGGGUGUUCGACUUGGCGGCAAGGUUGGUCACGACAGCCUGCGGCGCCGAGUGUACCGGCGGCGGCUGGGACCCAACAUGCCGGAGCUGAGAACCAGAGGCGGUUUCAUCCGGCGGGGAGUCGCUGGCGCCGUCCACCACCCCCUCCCUGAUGGGGAACCCGUGCAGGCGCGGCCCGACGCCGUGGGACUCACCAUAGCCCCUGUCCGGGUUGCCGUCAUGACCCGAAUCACCGUCGCUCGACGACGGGGAAGGUCCUGGCGAGGGCGACGGCGAUCGCGAGCGGAAGUCGGCCACAUUGCGCAGGUGAAUAAUCGCCCUGUAAGAAAGCGUCUUCUUCUGGCGGAGAUACGGCGGGAGGUUGCCGAAGAUUCUUUGCAUGUCCGGGUCAUCAUAUGUCACUUGUUGCUCGUGCUCGGCAAUAAGCAGUGUCUUCGUUCUUGGGAUUCUUCCUGGAUCGUCCGUCCAGGCGGUGAGCUUCAUCCUUGACAUGUCCGAGCAGUUUUCAGUCGCCGGUUCCAACCGCUCGAUCCAACACGAAGAUGAAAGGAGCUUUCGUGCCGUUCGCCAGCUCCAGGCGUGAGCCGGCACUCCUUCAAUCUCCAAUGAGGUUCUGAACUGCAGGGUCUUCAUCUCCGCCCUAAUCAGCCGCGUCCAUGGUCUGAAGAACAACCGACAGUCGCCCACCGGCACGCUCCCCGCGCUCAUCGCCGCGUCCCUAGCGCGCUGGGAGGAGAAGUUGACGAUGAAACUCUCGGGCCAGAAUCUCCUGACGGCGAAGUUGUCGGCGCUCGCCUCAGGAAGCUCAGCAAUGGCGCGCCGCAUAUCCUCCAGAGGAAUCCGCUGCGUCCCGCCCAGGGCAGUCGCGAGGAUUGCCAGCCGAAGUCUGCCUUCUUCCGCGUCCAUCGCGGCAUCGCGUGAGAGGAAGCAAACUUCCUCGGCUGGGCGCGUCGCCGGGUGCCCCGAUGGCGCAUCUUCAUCAAUCAUGAGGUGCGGCUCCGCCCUCGAACCCCUGCCGGCGUCCCAUGGCAAACCUGACGGCCCCUCCCCGUGGGGCGGCCGUGGCAGGUUGUACGCAGUGUUUGCCGGCGAGGUUCUGCGCCUUUGCGACUGGUGAGCGUGGCGGCUGGCCCCGGGGUGCGUUCGGAUCGCCUCGUGCACCGGUUGGCGGGUACGGUUGGAGGUGGAAUCCUAAGACGCCAACGGAGAUGGAGUUCGCCCGAGCGCCUGGUGACCCGUCGGAGUGGGCGGGGACGAGCGACGUAGACGGACAAAGCGCCGCCCUCCUCCCUCGCCGGAGGAGACGGAGCUUAUCGGGCUGCGCGGGCGCUUGCAAUCUCUAGCAAGGUGCCAGAGGCCGCGACACCGGAAGCACCGUGUCGGGAGGCGGCAUUGCGCCACCAGGUGCUUGGAGCUGAGGCAGUUGAGGCAGCAACCAGUAAACUCCGGCAGGAUGCGCUUUACCGAAGGUGGAGGCGGUGGUUGUGCUUGAAGAGCUCCCUUCCGCUGAGCGAGUCGCUGGCGACACCGACGCCGUGACCUGGUCCGUCAGCUCUCGGUCGUGGUCCAGCCAUCCUCCGUAGUCGCAGGCGUAGGCGGGACAACGACCGACUUCAAACGCUUGCGAACGACGAUGUGGUCCGGGCGCCGGGAGGGUAAGCCGGUAACCAUGACCGUCUGGCCGCGGCGUCUCUCAGGACGGCGGCCCUGACGGUCACCGGCUUGGCACCCGAGGCGGUCGCACACCGAAGUGGGCACACAUAGGGAUGGGAGGUCCGGGAGGGGGGCCGGCGGGGGGGGAGGAGCGCAGCAGGACAUCGCGGUACGACAACCGUGGUGGAGAGGCGUAAGCGGACGCCGCGUCGGAGUCGGACUCGUCGCGCCACCGCACCUGUUUCCCACGGCCGCCGGAUGUGCCGCCGGGAUAGAAGGGCUCCGCGUCAGGGGAGAGGGUGCCGAGGGAGCGGGGGCUGCGGCUGUUGGGUGUGGUGGUUGCCGGAGCCGGGGUGGCCGCCGGCGAGGGUUGGUCGUGGGGACCGGGGAGGGGAGAGCGCGGGGGAGAGCGAGAGCGAGCCAUCGUGUCCCGGAUAUAUCGGAUUCUUUGCGAGAGGGAGCCUGCACCCAUCGCUACGAGAGUCGUGACCGUGAUCGCCGCCACAGGUGAAGAGGGAAAUGUCAGGGCUUUAUGUUUCUCCCUUGAGGCCGUGACCGUGACCGUGACCGUGAUUGCCAAUUUUUGUAGCCGUGGUACCUGUGGUAUUGUGUUACAGUUGCUUUAUGUUAUUUGCUGCACGCGCGCAGCCGCUUAUCGGAUAACUUGCUGUUUGUAAAACGAGCAUGGCAUUCUUCUUAUUUUUAUUUUUAUUUUACAAAACCAGGUUGACAUUGACCGGGCCAAUGUUGGACCAAGGUUGAGCUCUGCAUCUUCAGGAGGGAGAAAAAGAAAGGGUUGACUAAGGAUAGAGCCUAGGCAAAAGCAAGUUGUAUAAUAUAUAUUAGCAUUCAAGUUAUUUUAGCCAUUCUAGUAAGUAAGAUGGGCUAGCCACAGAAUAAGCUAUUCUAUGGCCGGUCAUAGAGUAUACUGUCCCUUUCUAUCAACUAUUUCUUGUAGGCUCUAAUUUGAAAAACAAGCACAGAGCUGCAGAGUGAACUGGUUUAGUAAGGAUAGAGCCUAGGCAAAAGCAAGGCCUUCAUCUUCCUAUACACUGCCGUGCAUUUGCAAUCCUAGCCAAUAGCUGCAAAACUGAGAAAUAGUGCAUUUAUAAAAGGGGGAGAUUGGUUCAUUCAGGUAUUCAGGUGGCCAAAAUGCACUGACAUAGAUUCAUUCAGGUUAAUAAGUCACCAGAAACAGAACUCUGCCACAAGAACGGAUAUAUGUACGUAUGUAAAUGUCAAAUGUAAUAUAUAAAAUACUACCAAACAAUAUAUACACACACAUAAGGUAGUCUCUCCAUCCCAAAUUGUAGGUCGUUUUAGCAUACGUAGGUUCAUAGCUUUUGGUAUUCAUCCAUAUAUACACUAUAUGAAUCUAGAAAUACCAUGCACUGCAAGUACCUCUUUGUCAUAGCAAGACUGAUUUGCAUUGAACAGAUUCAACAGCUAGGCGUCGCGGGGUUGUCACCUCCUGACUCCGUGACAGCGACUUCAUCGCCAGUUGCUGAGGCCCCGCGCUCCUCUUCUUUCGCGGAAACAUCGACGGACUGGAAUUGGGAAAGAAUUUGAUUAGCACAAAAAAAAAAGUUGAACUGCGUGUUGGAAGUUACCACGCACAUACCUCUUUGUCAUCUUGGUCUGUAGAUCGUGCCAUCAUCCUAUGUUCAAGGAGUCGUUGGAGUCUGAUUAUGGGCCCGUUGGGAUAGAGUUUUGCUGCAUUCCUCAGCUCAGCCUCUGCCUUCUCCACGUCAUUAGUAGAGGCAUCCAUACAGUCGACAAAUAUUAUGACACUGCAAAGCGAAGGGAGGCACUCCAGCCUGAGAUCACCGCAGCUACCAUUUCCAUCCUUAUAAAAGUCCCUGACGGGAACGUAAAGCAGAAGCUCUUGGAGGUUCGGCAUCACUGGUUGUGGUGCUAUUGAUCUGCUGUACUCGUCCUUUGUUUUGGAACCAAAUGCUAUAGCACCCAUCCCAUUCCAGAUGCUAACCGAAACACCAGUGGAGUCCUCGUUGAGCACCAACUGGACCAUCCAGCCAUGCAAUAAGCAAUAUCUCAACUUCUUGAAGAAGCCAUCGACCGCAGUAUUUAUAUUAGCUGCAGUUGCCGCGCAAGCCAUCGACGGCCGAGCCGUUAACAAAUUGAGGUCACGGAGCUCUGUCAACCCACCCAAGUUUCGCAGACUUGACUCGUCCAUAUGAUCCACAUGCAACCGCAAGUAGUGGAGGACGGGGAGAUGAACGGGAUUAAUACAUGAUGGUAGCUGACGGAGCGGUAUAGAAUCUAAAUCCAAAUACCGGAGAUGCUAUGGAAGCACCACUCUGUCCCACUCCCUCGUUGCGGCUUCACUAUUGCCAUUAUAUUUCGUCAGCUCCAGAUGCUGGAGUUUAUGGAGAUUGCCUAGUGAAUGCACUAGAUCUGACUGCACCAUCCCUUUCAACGAGCCAAUAAUGUGGAGCACCCUGACUUCCCUCAGGUUGCCAAGGUCCUUCAUAAAUUGCCGCUGGGACUCCUCAUCCAGGUUAUCAAUACGUAUACGCAGGUACUCUAAUGAUGUCACCUUCCUAAGGAAUAACCCAUCCGGCGGGCAUGUAUAACGGGAGUGACCACAUAGG